GACACCAAUACAUACGAUCAGUUCCAAAAUGUGGGGUGUUUGUUUACUAUUUUCUAUGCUGUAUUUUGGGCUAUGCAUUCGACGGUACUCUUAUCACUCGAAGAUGGCAGAAUUUCUCGCUGAGAAUAAUGUUUGCGGACAGACGAUCUUGCAGAUUGUCGCCGAAGGAAAUACGAUCAUCUGUGAACUGUUGCGGUUGAAGGAAUUUAUUCCCGAGGUUUUCUGUCUGAAAACGAAAGAAGAGCAGCAAAAGUAUGGAGAGAUUAUUAUGGACUUCAGCUAUUUCCAAAUAUCGGAUGCACAGGACGCAAAGAUUGAGGCAGACGAAAAGCUUCAAGCUCUGGACGAGGAAAUCCGGGAGAACUAUCUUGUUAUCCUGAAUCGGUUCUACAUAGUUUUCGAGAGUAUGCACAAGUACAUCAAGGAUCUGAACACCUUCAUAGAGGAGCUGAGCACGGGGAUGUUUAUCCAGCAAUCAAUGGAGAAAGUUUUCCAAGAUGAGGAAGGGAAGCAGCUAAUGUGCGAAGCCCUCUACUUGUACGGCGUAAUGCUACUAGUGGUUGAUCUUCAGAUACCCGGUGUGGUUCGAGAACGACUUCUCGUCGCGUAUAACCGGUACAGUGCCCUGAAAACCGACGGCGACAGUAACAUCGAUGAGGUGUGCAAACUAUUGCGCUCUACCGGCUUCAACGACGGAAGUGCAUACAGUUCGAAGAAGGUGUUCGCCUAUUCGGAAGAUUACUUCAACCGCAUCCCGGUUGAUCCUAUCUACAUCGAAAUGGUGAUAGGGAGACUUCGAUCCGACGACGUGUACAACCAGAUAUCGGUAUAUCCGCUACCUGAGCAUCGAUCAACGGCCUUGGCCAACCAGGCCGGUAUGUUGUAUGUGUGUUUGUUCUUCUCUACGAAAACACUGCACACUCAGGCUGCCAAGAUGCGUGAAAUUGUGGAUAAGUUCUUUUCCGAUAACUGGAUUGUUUCGUUCUAUAUGGGAAUUACCGUUAAUCUCUUAAAUGCUUGGGAUCCAUUCAAGGCAGCGAAAUCAGCCUUGCUAAAUACGUUCGAUACAGUUAACCUGAAGGAAAUUUGUUCCAAGCAGAAGCGCUCGAUGGAUACGUUGCUCAAUCGUACUAGAAAUAUUCUUAAAGAAGGAAACCUUACGGAGCAAAAACUUUUAGAUAAUAUACCAAAGGUAACAGCACUGAUUCGCGAAUGCAAUCUUACAGUUCGUUGGGUUAUGCUACACACUGGAGUCCCGGUUAUCGAUGUAGGAAGUCCAGCUUCACUGAAAAAAUGCAAACAAGUCAAAGAUCUCAUUGAAGCUGAUAUUAAUUUCAAAGGGAUUGAAUUUUUCGAGCUGUUGUUGAACACAGCUCAACUAGAAUCAAAGAUAAGAGACAUUCUUAAGACUCUGCUAGACGAGCGAUUGCAUCGAUGGGAAAAUUUCAAGAAGGAGGCUUGCGAACGAAUUCAAGAUCUGGCAGAUGCCUAUUCGGGAGAUAAACCGUUUGGCAAAAUGAAGAAGAAUGCAAGUUUGAGUAAAUGGUUCUUGAACAUUCGGAAGGAAAUCGAUACUCUGAGUAAUGAUGAUAAAAUGUUAAGCGUUUCCGGAAGAACAAUUAUCCAGUUGAUUCAAGCCUUGGAGGAAGUGCAGGACUUCCAUGAUCUGAGUAAAAACAUGCAAGUGAAGCAGAACAUCGUAGAAACCCGACAGUAUCUUCAUCAAAUGUUUCACACAAUCAGUAUCAAGGAAGACGAUUUGAUCAAUUUACAGCUAAUUGGGGAUUUCAGUUACGCAUGGCGAUUGAUCGACAGCUAUACACCGAUGAUGCAAGAGAAUAUAAAAAAGAACCCUAUUUUAGUCAUCAAACUGCGAUCAACUUUCCUGAAACUAGCAUCUGCGUUGGAAAUACCAUUACUGCGUCUGAAUCAAGCUGAGAGUGAAGAUCUUAUGGAUGUGUCCAAAUAUUACAGCAACGAGCUGGCCAACUUUGUUCGUAAAGUUGUGCAAAUUAUUCCGGAAACUAUGUUCACGAUCUUGGCUCAGAUUAUUGAUUUGCAGACAAAUGUCAUCAAGCAGAUUCCCAUGAGAUUAGAAAAAGAAAAAAUGAAGGAGUAUGCUCAACUCGACGAAAGAUUUCUCAUUGCCAAGCUCACGUACUCGGUAUCAACCUUUACCGAAGGAAUUUUAGCCAUGAAAACGACUCUUGUGGGAGUAGUUGAGCUGGAUCCGAAACAAUUGCUUGAAGACGGUAUCAGGAAAGAAUUUGUCAAAAACGUAUCGGAUGCAUUUCAUAGCAGUUUAACCUUCAACCCAAAGGCCAAAGAAUCUGAACUAGAUGCGAAGCUUACGGCUCUGUAUCGAAUUAUCGAUGGCUACAAACGUUCGUUUGAGUAUGUCCAGGAUUAUUUGAAUAUACACUGUCUCCGAAUAUGGAAUGAAGAAAUGCAACGCAUCAUCAAUUACAACGUUCAACGAGAGUGUAACCCGUUUAUUAAAAACAAGAUUCAAGAGUGGAAUUCAGAAUAUCAGAGUGAAACCAUUCCGAUUCCAAGCUACGAACCGGUGGACAUGGCCUCGGUCACGUUUGUAGGGCGUUUGGCUCGUGAAGUUUUACGAAUUACCGAUCCUAAAGUAACCACUUACAUCGAUAUCUGUACGACAUGGUAUGAUCAUAAAACCAACAAGGCUGUCCUUACGAAUAAAUUUGCCACUCGCAUCAAUGAAACCUUCGGCCCACCCGGUUUGGUCGGUUUGGACAAACUAUAUUCUUUCAUGAUAACAUCGGAAUUGGAAAAUUUCCUUCUAACGAUUCAACGCAAAUUGCAGCACGAACCUUUAUGGUACGACGCUCUGAGCAAUGUGGAAACCGAACUACACAAAUUGGACUUCGUUGAGAAUCCAGCCAAGACCUAUGCCAAUCUUACAACCACAUUUUCCCGCAUUUGGCCGCAGUUGCUGGACUGGAUACUGAGAAUCGGACAGAAGCAGAUCCUUCGAACGCAUAUCGCCUUCGAAUUGAACUGUAGCUGCAAGGUCAAAUCCACCAAGCUAGAAUCAUCGCUCAGGGCUUUGAACGACGCGAUUCUCAUGGAUGUCAAGCGUCAUACGUUGGACGAUACGAAGCCAUUGCCAAGUACUGAUCUCGUAGUUGAAUUGAAUCGAUACCUAGAAUGCGCGGGUUUGUACAACCCUUAUAGAAAAAAGUACAUCGUCACAAAGAGUCCACGAUUCUUGUCGCUAUUGGCAUUCCUGUUCGUAAUCGUACAUCUACCGCGGUUCCAGUACAUGAAAAAUGUGGACAGUUUGAUUGCGAAGAAAAAGAACGAUCCAAUCGAUGGCUUCCCUAGCAUGGUUGGUUUGUUGACACUCUUCAGGCAGUUCCAAGCGUCCGAAAUGGAUCUCUUCAUUCAGUAUUUGUGCCAGUAUGUGAUGUCUUUCGUGGAUGUAAAUCUUAAAGCAAAGCAGGAAAUAUGCCAGGAAGCAGUGAUGACCCUACGUUUCCUAGAAACGUUCACCCGUGUGGCGGAUAUCGAGCGUAAGCAACUCGAGAAAUACAUUCCGGAUUCGGUUUUGAACCAGUACGAAUUUUUGUCUGGCGGAAAAUCUUCUUGACCGUCCGCAGACUGGUGGUGCCUUCGAAAUUAAUAUAUUUACGUAUCUAUGAGUAACUUGAAGUUAUUGUACACGCUUAGGAAUAUAGAAUUCUCUCGUUCUUCCGAUAAAAAUUACACGGAGAAGAAAUUCCUAAGCAUGUAUGUCCCAAACCCUAGCUGCUAUAAAAUAUUGUCCAUCGUAAUCUUCAACCAGCAAACCACUUAAUAAUUAAAUGCGUAACAAAUAUUUGGAUAUAUCAAAUUAUUAGAGCCAAUGAAAUUUAUUUGGCCUGGCCAAAAAAUUGAUUGGUUUACCUCGAAGGUUAAAAUUUAUUUUUAAAUUUUCAAGAAUUGUAUUAAGCAUUUACAUUUGUAGAAAAAAUGAGUCAAAUGAUUUGAGAAUUCUUGGAACUUAACUCAGGCUUCUGCCAAAGAUUAGAAGAUUUUGUCAAGAAUCUACAACGGAUUUUGCCAGCAGAAUUAUUAGCUACUCAAAAUAAAUCUGUUUAGAACGAA